UGGGGAAUAUUGCACAAUGGGCGCAAGCCUGAUGCAGCCAUGCCGCGUGUGUGAAGAAGGCCUUCGGGUUGUAAAGCACUUUCAGCGAGGAGGAAGGUGGUGAGCUUAAUACGCUCAUCAAUUGACGUUACUCGCAGAAGAAGCACCGGCUAACUCCGUGCCAGCAGCCGCGGUAAUACGGAGGGUGCAAGCGUUAAUCGGAAUUACUGGGCGUAAAGCGCACGCAGGCGGUUUGUUAAGUCAGAUGUGAAAUCCCCGGGCUCAACCUGGGAACUGCAUUUGAAACUGGCAAGCUAGAGUCUCGUAGAGGGGGGUAGAAUUCCAGGUGUAGCGGUAAAAUGCGUAGAGAUCUGGAGGAAUACCGGUGGCGAAGGCGGCCCCCCUGGACGAAGACUGACGCUCAGGUGCGAAAAGGCGUGGGGAGCAAACAGAUUAGNUACCCUGGUAGUCCACGCUGUAAACGAUGUCGAUUUUGGAGGUUGUG
rnacentral:rRNA from 1 species